rnacentral:rRNA from 1 species
UCUCCUGGAAACGGGUGGUAAUGCCGGAUGUUCCACAUGAUCGCAUGUGAUUGUGGGAAAGAUUCUAUCGGCGUGGGAUGGGGUCGCGUCCUAUCAGCUUGUUGGUGAGGUAACGGCUCACCAAGGCUUCGACGGGUAGCCGGCCUGAGAGGGCGACCGGCCACAUUGGGACUGAGAUACGGCCCAGACUCCUACGGGAGGCAGCAGUGGGGAAUAUUGCACAAUGGGCGCAAGCCUGAUGCAGCGACGCCGCGUGAGGGAUGGAGGCCUUCGGGUUGUAAACCUCUUUUGUUUGGGAGCAAGCCUUCGGGUGAGUGUACCUUUCGAAUAAGCGCCGGCUAACUACGUGCCAGCAGCCGCGGUAAUACGUAGGGCGCAAGCGUUAUCCGGAUUUAUUGGGCGUAAAGGGCUCGUAGGCGGCUCGUCGCGUCCGGUGUGAAAGUCCAUCGCUUAACGGUGGAUCUGCGCCGGGUACGGGCGGGCUGGAGUGCGGUAGGGGAGACUGGAAUUCCCGGUGUAACGGUGGAAUGUGUAGAUAUCGGAAAA